rnacentral:rRNA from 1 species
UUGGCUCAGGAUGAACGCUAGCUACAGGCUUAACACAUGCCAGUCGAGGGGAAACGAUAUUGGAAGCUUGCUUCCGAUAGGCGUCGACCGGCGCACGGGUGAGUAACGCGUAUCCAACCUGCCCACCACUUGGGAAUAACCUUGCGAAAGUAAGACUAAUACCCAAUGAUAUCUCUAGAAGACAUCUGAAGGAGAUUAAAGAUUUAUCGGUGAUGGAUGGGGAUGCGUCUGAUUAGCUUGUUGGCGGGGUAACGGCCCACCAAGGCUACGAUCAGUAGGGGUUCUGAGAGGAAGGUCCCCCACAUUGGAACUGAGACACGGUCCAAACUCCUACGGGAGGCAGCAGUGAGGAAUAUUGGUCAAUGGGCGAGAGCCUGAACCAGCCAAGUAGCGUGCAGGAUGACGGCCCUAUGGGUUGUAAACUGCUUUUAUAAGGGAAUAAAGUGAGCUACGUGUAGCUCUUUGCAUGUACCUUAUGAAUAAGGACCGGCUAAUUCCGUGCCAGCAGCCGCGGUAAUACGGAAGGUUCGGGCGUUAUCCGGAUUUAUUGGGUUUAAAGGGAGCGUAGGCCGGAGAUUAAGCGUGUUGUGAAAUGUAGAUGCUCAACAUCUGCACUGCAGCGCGAACUG